rnacentral:rRNA from 1 species
GACGAACGCUGGCGGCGUGCCUAAUACAUGCAAGUCGAACGCUUUUUCUUUCACCGAGACUUGUCUCACCGAAAGAAAAAGAGUGGCGAACGGGUGAGUAACACGUGGGUAACCUGCCCUCGAGAAGGGGAUAACACUUGGAAACAGGUGCUAAUACCGUAUAACAAUAACUGCCGCAUGGCAGGUAUUUGAAAGGCGCUUUUGCGUCACUCGAGGAUGGACCCGCGGUGCAUUAGCUAGUUGGUGAGGUAACGGCUCACCAAGGCGACGAUGCAUAGCCGACCUGAGAGGGUGAUCGGCCACACUGGGACUGAGACACGGCCCAGACUCCUACGGGAGGCAGCAGAAGGGAAUCUUCGGCAAUGGACGAAAGUCUGACCGAGCAACGCCGCGUGAGUGAAGAAGGUUUUCGGAUCGUAAAACUCUGUUGUUAGAGAAGAACAAGGAUGAGAGUAGAACGUUCAUCCCUUGACGGUAUCUAACCAGAAAGCCACGGCUAACUACGUGCCAGCAGCCGCGGUAAUACGUAGGUGGCAAGCGUUGUCCGGAUUUAUUGGGCGUAAAGCGAGCGCAGGCGGUUCUUUAAGUCUGAUGUGAAAGCCCCCGGCUCAACCGGGGAGGGUCAUUGGAAACUGGAGAACUUGAGUGCAGAAGAGGAGAGUGGAAUUCCAUGUGUAGCGGUGAAAUGCGUAGAUAUAUGGAGGAACACCAGUGGCGAAGGCGGCUCUCUGGUCUGUAACUGACGCUGAGGCUCGAAAGCGUGGGGAGCAAACAGG